rnacentral:rRNA from 1 species
UUUUAUGGAGAGUUUGAUCCUGGCUCAGGAUGAACGCUGGCGGCGUGCCUAAUACAUGCAAGUCGAGCGAACGGACGAGAAGCUUGCUUCUCUGAUGUUAGCGGCGGACGGGUGAGUAACACGUGGAUAACCUACCUAUAAGACUGGGAUAACUUCGGGAAACCGGAGCUAAUACCGGAUAAUAUUUUGAACCGCAUGGUUCAAAAGUGAAAGACGGUCUUGCUGUCACUUAUAGAUGGAUCCGCGCUGCAUUAGCUAGUUGGUAAGGUAACGGCUUACCAAGGCAACGAUGCAUAGCCGACCUGAGAGGGUGAUCGGCCACACUGGAACUGAGACACGGUCCAGACUCCUACGGGAGGCAGCAGUAGGGAAUCUUCCGCAAUGGGCGAAAGCCUGACGGAGCAACGCCGCGUGAGUGAUGAAGGUCUUCGGAUCGUAAAACUCUGUUAUUAGGGAAGAACAUAUGUGUAAGUAACUGUGCACAUCUUGACGGUACCUAAUCAGAAAGCCACGGCUAACUACGUGCCAGCAGCCGCGGUAAUACGUAGGUGGCAAGCGUUAUCCGGAAUUAUUGGGCGUAAAGCGCGCGUAGGCGGUUUUUUAAGUCUGAUGUGAAAGCCCACGGCUCAACCGUGGAGGGUCAUUGGAAACUGGAAAACUUGAGUGCAGAAGAGGAAAGUGGAAUUCCAUGUGUAGCGGUGAAAUGCGCAGAGAUAUGGAGGAACACCAGUGGCGAAGGCGACUUUCUGGUCUGUAACUGACGCUGAUGUGCGAAAGCGUGGGGAUCAAACAGGAUUAGAUACCCUGGUAGUCCACGCCGUAAACGAUGAGUGCUAAGUGUUAGGGGGUUUCCGCCCCUUAGUGCUGCAGCUAACGCAUUAAGCACUCCGCCUGGGGAGUACGACCGCAAGGUUGAAACUCAAAGGAAUUGACGGGGACCCGCACAAGCGGUGGAGCAUGUGGUUUAAUUCGAAGCAACGCGAAGAACCUUACCAAAUCUUGACAUCCUUUGACAACUCUAGAGAUAGAGCAUUCCCCUUCGGGGGACAAAGUGACAGGUGGUGCAUGGUUGUCGUCAGCUCGUGUCGUGAGAUGUUGGGUUAAGUCCCGCAACGAGCGCAACCCUUAAGCUUAGUUGCCAUCAUUAAGUUGGGCACUCUAAGUUGACUGCCGGUGACAAACCGGAGGAAGGUGGGGAUGACGUCAAAUCAUCAUGCCCCUUAUGAUUUGGGCUACACACGUGCUACAAUGGACAAUACAAAGGGCAGCGAAACCGCGAGGUCAAGCAAAUCCCAUAAAGUUGUUCUCAGUUCGGAUUGUAGUCUGCAACUCGACUA